ACUGCCACCCUCUCCCAGGUCUAGAGAGGGGUACCCACGGUGGAGGGAGGUGGGAGGCCGAGACGGCCCCGGGGGUCGGCGGAGACCCAGCGGGAGCAGGGGGAAAUCGGAAGAGCUGGGGGCAUGGAGCGGGCGAGUUUGGAGCGGAAUGAGCCGGGAGCCCUACGUUGUGGAAGGAAGACAACAGUAUAGGACCAUCAGCAGGACCGGACAGAGAGGGCCCUGGCUGUCCUGGAACUUGUAGACCAGGCUGGCCUUGAACUCAGAAAUCCGCCUGCCUCUGACUCCCGAGUGCUGAGAUUAAAGGUGUGCACCACCACACCCGACAAGGAAGCCUGUUUUAAGAAGUGAUUCCAUGGAGGAGUUCUGCGGCGGCUCAGGGCUUGACUAAACAGUGGACCUCAGACAAGAGAGGCUAAACCAGGCUGCAGGUGACAGGAAGAAUUGAAUAAACUGAAAGCAAAGGGCAGCCUUCUAAUUACGCUUCGUGGCUAUGUGGACAACCUGGAGAAGUCUGGAAACGUGAGUGGUGCUAAUCCCCUUUGUAAUGAAAGGCCCGGGUAAAAACAGAUGGGGCAAGUAGGUGUAAUGGGUAUUUCAGGAGCUUGAAUCUGAUGUCACAGCUUGUCUGGAUGGGACGUGCAUCUACUUGCAGAGCUAUGUUCCCAUCUAGUGUAAUUGUGGGUGUUUUAAUUCAGGCGUCACCUCUAUUUUGUCCUCUCUCCACAGCUUUCCUCCUCCAUUUUACUACUUGAGGGAGCAGUGGGUGGGAUACUAGGCAAGUAGCUGCAAUGGCUGGUGCUUUAUGGUUCCCUGGCAUCCCCUGAAUCUGUUAACAUCCCAACCUUCUUGACAGCCAGCCCCACCCCAUCACAUUCUUACUCCUUCCCUUUCCAAGAAAGAAGCCAGAAGCCCGAAGCCAGCAGUAGAGCUCUGACUGGCUUGUAUGCCUAGAAAGGAAGGGCUCUUCUUUCGCCUCACGGGCACAAAUGGGACCCACGAGCGCCGAUUUCAGACUAUUCUGAUCCCUUCAAAAAGAAAGUUAGGAGUCCAGGCUACUGUGAGUGAAUUUGAUUCUAAUUGUUUCAGAGAAUAUGGAAUAAAAUAUCUCAUUUGCAGUUGUUUA
rnacentral:lncRNA from 1 species